AUAGAGAGAAAGCGAAGAAAAACAUAAAAAGCAAUCAUAUUUGCAGAGCGAAGAUAACAUUGAGAAGGUGUCACUGAAUAGUGACUGUGGUAUUUAUGGCUUGCCCCGGAUUUGUAUCUUUCUUUCAUUAUGUAACCAUUUUUUAUUACGCGCCUGGUACGUGUUUCCAUAUUACAUUACAAGUUGGCAGUUUUAUCUACUCAAAGGUCAACAGGGGGAUCAUAGAUUUCAAACCCUCGGUUAGUAAGAUCAAUCAAUUUGGCAUUGUUUUAUGCCUCAUUCAUAAGGUAGGUUUGUUGAUCUCUAUCCAAACGUAUUUCUCAGGUUUUGAAAUGAUGUAAGCGAUUCACAUCUCUGAGAAAUUUUUUGAUGCAGAGUAGCAAUCAGUACAUACUUGAAGGUUGCAAAUAACUCUUAUAGUUGUUCCAAGGGCUAUGUUUAACAAGCCAAAUGCAAUUGCUAACUUUUAACUACGUUGACAGGUAAAUAAUUAUUUUUCCUUACCUUGCACAGCAUUAACUAAAUGUCUUGAAUUUGGAAAUGCCUGCUGAAUUCAAUUUCCAAGCUGAUUUCUCCAACUUUAAAUAGAUCUUCUGUCCCUGUGGAUGUGAAAUGUCUCCGAAACAAAAGAAUAUAUUAUUUUAUGGCCAUUAAUCCAACUACAUCCAAGGUUAUUUUUUAAUUCCUCUAUCUUGCAUCAAUCUCCUUACUAUUUGAACCUCUCUACGCUUGUCUGUUUCUGCAUAAAUGUUUUAGACAAGCACAUAAGUUGCAGCAUUUUUAGGAUCCAAUCAAAAAGUUGUGUUACCGGAAGGAAUUUCAAAUUUUCAUAUAUAAGCCUGAAGAAAUUUUGUCCCAAUUUGAAAUUAUUCAAGAGUAUUUCUUCAUAAAUUCUUCUUAUCGAAUCGUGUGUAUAAGUUCAUUUGAAGGCUGUGGGUGAUUAAGAGUGGCACACUUUAUUACCACAUCUGGAAUUAAUAUAUUUACAAUUAUACUUUGAUGGAUGUCCAGAUUCGAUACCUUAUUCUGUUGUUCCAUUUGAGCAAAGGCAAGCAGGAUGCUGCUUUGAAAUUGUUUAAAUUUUUUUCUAAAGCCUCCUCAACAAACACAUUUGAACGUAUUUCUCAAACAGCUGUCCUUUCCUACAUUUAAAGAGGAUCAUAUCCCCUAUAUACACUCACAUUUAUUGAGGAAACUAUUCAAAGAGUUCACAUGCAUUUACUAUGCUUCAAAAUUUAGAUAGAAUUUCUUGAUUACUUUAAGUCCAUAAAAGAAAAAAGGUAAUGGAGUUAUCUUAUUGAAAUACUCGAGCAUAUUUAAAAAAAAAGAAGCUAUGACUAGAUAAUUCAGUGCAUCUUUAAUUUAAUUUAUUUUAUUUCCUUAAAAUACGUUAGUACAAAGAAAUUCAUGCUCCUAUGAUUAGAGGGGAUUAGAUAUUAAAUAUUUUUUAUAUGUUAUGUAAGGCAUCCACAAGGAAAAACAAAACAAAACAAAACAUAUUAAGUAAAUGAAGAAAUUGGUAUAAAAUUUAAGUUGAGGAGAGUAGAGCCCACCCAAAAACUUACAUAAGAAGAAAUCUAACUUACUAGAACUUAAUCUUUUGUUAUAAGAAGUUAAGUAAUAUUGUAAGAUUAAAUUAAGAAAGAAAAAUAUGAAAUGAGAAUAAGAGAUUAAUAUUUAUUUGCUAAGAAAUUAGUAUUUUUUUAAUAUAAGAGAUCUUUUUUAAUUUAUCUUAUUUUAUAGUAGAUUUAUUAUUUCAAUGUGGUGUAUUUAUUUUAAAGAGGUUUUAUUGUUAUGAAUGUGGUGUUUUCAUUGUCUCAAUGUAAGAAAGCUAGUAUAUUUAUUGUCUUGAACGUUUGUUUUGGAAAAUUAUAAGGAAUAUCAAGUAAGCACAAGUAUAUAUGAUUAAUUAUAUUGUGAGAAGAUUCACUGUAACCUCUAGAUAACAACUUUAGCUUAGAAUAACACUUACAAAUCUCUUAGUAUAAUUAUGCUACGAGAAUGUAAUAUGGGAAAGAUGAUAUUGAAUUCUUUAGUGGAAUAGUAUUUUAUGAUAAGCCUUUAUAUCUCGUAAAUGAUUACUAGUUAGUUAUUGAGUAUACCCUUUUGUGCAAAUAAGGGCGAUUCAAUAUUACAUAUUGUUGACAUUAGUUUAAUUAGUAGAUUGAUACUCAUCGAUGGCUUAAUUGCCUUCCAUGUUUUUCUCAUUUACAAUAUUGACAACAUUAUCCUCGAAUUGGACUACAGGUGUGUAUUUCAAUAUUAGUUAGAUAUGCAAGAAUGUGCUUUUACUUAUAUGAGUUUUCCUUUUGACAUUGUUGACAUGUAUAUCAAUUAUUAUUAAUAUAUUAUAUUUAGUUACCAACAUUUGAAGGUAUCCAAAUGCAAAAUGUGGUGUUCUUGUGAAAAAGACAUUGUAAAUGCAUAGAUUGAUGCACUCCUUAGCACAUGCAUGUCUUUGUAUGACUAUGUAUGUUCCUAUGUGAAUUUGUAUUCAUAUUAAAUAGAUGCAUUAGCAUGUUGCAAGCUCAUGUAUGCAUUGUGUGAUACCAAUGAGUGUAUGUAUGCUUGGUGCCUAUUGUGUAUUCAUUGUGUGAUCAUUUUAUUAUUUGUGCGAUGGACGGGUACCAAAUAUGGAUCAAAAUAGAAGGGUGAGUUUUUAGAGAGAUUUAAGUCUCUUCUUUAACUCAUCUACUGGUAGUUGGCCCUAAAAAAUAUCUGGCCAAAGUUCUAUUGAUCUCUUAGUAUAUGCUUGCUAAGUAAAUUGUUUCAAUUUAACUAUCUUCCAUAUCUUAGUGUCAAUACAACAACAUCAUAGAUUAUAGAUACACUAAGCUACAUCUGAUUCCAUCCCCUAUCAGUUUCGAGUUGCUAGACUUCUUCGUGCAGGGUUGGUGGUUCUUUGUGUCAGGAAGAAAUCCGAGGAAGCGUAAAUGCUUCACGAUUGGGCAGUAAAGCACUUUGGAAGUGUUCUCACCUCUGAUGUAAGUGUGGGAGAUAGAUGUUGGGAGCCCCUAUCAGGAUGAUAUUCAGUUGGGAGUCUCUAUUUUACUUUAUGGCCUUUUGUAGCAUAAGUAAUUUUCAUUAUGUUUAGCCAAUCUCUUGGCUUAUGCAAUCAAACAUUGUGUUGAGUUGUAACAUUAUGUAACUACAUUUGGUAUAUUGGGCAUAAUGGAUUAUUCAAUAAAGUGAAUUCUUAA